CGCCUUAGCUACCUUGCCCAGCCGCUGGCUAGACAAGGGGUUCCCUUCUCCCUGGGCGCCAUCCUGUCAUUUGGAGCCUCCCACACCGAGAAAUGGUGGUUUGAAAUAGCGUCGAGAGCCGCUGCCUUUCUUACCAUCUGCGGCCGCUUCUGAAACAUCUUUGCGCCUCCUUCCUUCCCUCUGCUAUGGCUUCCUUCUACUAUCAUGCGAUCCUACCAUCCUCCUUGUCCCGCGUGUGAAGCCGUGGGUCUCAUGAGUCUUUAGAGAUUACUCUGCACGAAACCCUUGCCAAUCGCCCUGUGUGGCUAGUGACCACUGUACCUACUGGUGAAAGAAGAAGAAGAAGACGGUAGCAUGCCGGGAUUUUACCCCGCUGAAGUAAAAAUGCGUGCAGAAACUCUGAGGGGAGGUUGACCAGCUUUAUCUGUUCUACUGGAGAAACGGAAAGUGACGUGAUUAAGGCGAUGCUGGAACAGAACCUAGCCAUCCUGUGCGUUUUGAAGUGCGAGGAUACGUCUGAAAGUAAGGUAUAGAGGUUCGCAUACACAGUUUGGUGCCCCAUGACUCACACGGCAGACUGGCGCCGUGGUUGGCCUCUUUGGGCUAAAGACGCGUUCAACAAAUACCGGGAACUAUACUUCACUGUCUUCAAGUGGAACUGUCUGGGUUCUUUGCCGCCGGGUGCAAGACACGCUUUAAAAACAAUUGAUGUCAUACCUGCAUUCAGAGAAGAGCACAUAACCAAUCAACCACACUGCAGCCUACUCAAGUCCUCCGAACACAUACAGGCAGCAUGGCGUGCUCUAAACGAAUGUGAGAUUCCUGAUGAACAGCAGUGGGGUGCAGUCGAAGCAGCAUGCUUCGUUGACCGGCAGCAAGUUCUUUCUUUCUCUCUGUUUUGUGGCAUUGUUUUGCUGUGUGGCACAUGUCAGUGGCACUAUUCCAUCUGUAGGAACUGUUGUUUCGGGAGGGGCUUCUAGUUGAGUAACUCGAGAACGAACCACGCUGUUCAAGAAAUUUAAUUUAUCUUAGUAGCCAUUGGUACUGGCCGAAAUACUAUUAGCGAUUAGUAACUUGUUUCCAAGUGCUCACUUGAUAAGUGAAAAUUUUAAUUUCUUUGGGUUAAGAUAACCGUCCCUGCGCACCUAUGCUGUUCGAUGGGCUCAAGGGAAAAGGUAUUCCGCCCAAAAUACCACAUCGUAUCGUUGUGGUUUUUUUAGUUACUAAUUAGUUUCAAUUUGCAAAUUUCCUACAUGAGGUAGAGGAGGGACGUGCGCAGUCUCUCUGCUAUAUGGGCUUCCUCACUGCUUCCUCGGAUUCCCUAUGUGUAUCAAUGCUAUACUCAUUUGAAGUUUGAUCUGAGUUGUCUCGCGACGUAAACCCCCAAUUAUUAAUUAUUAUUUGGAGUUUUCUUAUGUUUCACCACCUCUUUGCAAGCAGGCAGAUGAAUGCGUGGUUAUACAACGACACGGGUAAGUGAAGGAGCACUUCGCUACAAUAUUUCACACAGAAUAUUGACUACUACUACCAGAAAAAUUCAGACACGACCAUUGUGGCACUGCACAUGAUCAUAGAUAUCUCGCGGCGUAGAGCCCCGAAUUAUAAUUAUUAUUUAAAAAUUCACUGAGGGUUGAUGGCAGUGUUUCUGCUGUAAUACCUUUCAUGUGAGGGAGGGCGAUUUCAUUUCGAUUCAGUUUGGGCGUUACCUUUUGGGUCUUCGAUUUUCUUGGUAGUUUUUUUAUCUGAGAGCUCCACUUGUGACAUGAACAUUGGCUGAUGCGACUUUCCGAAACGGUUCGGGAGGUAAAAAAUAAAGCGAGGUAGUAAGAAUGGGAGUGUCGUAUACAUGCAUUUUUUUUCCUACUUUGAAGAGCUCUGUUUUGGCACCUGUAAUGGCCAGUCGCUUCGACCUUUCUACUAUGUAAUUACCAUGCCGUAGGCUAUAGUUGAGCACGAUACUUCUUGUCUCUGAUCAGUGAAACACUUUUAAAAAACCCCGGAGAACCGUCGCACGCUCCGCUCCAGCGCACACACACCAAAGAAAAUCUUAAUAGUCGCCCCUUAUAAUGGUAUGCACCACGAGCUUCGUUAGCCAAACUUAGGACAGGCGAACUAAUUCAUGGUACCAGGGCAGCUCUAAUCAAAACGACCUUCUGUGGUGUCACCAGUUCACAUCACAGUGCCUCUCUGGCCACGAACUAAUAGCAGAGAACUUUCAUUGAAACAUUUUAAUGAGGAAAGGGCUUUUGGUGAAAGUACUUACGAAGACAAGCGCUCCUUGCCUGGAGAACUCUGAAAAAAAAAAUAUUUACACACUAUAGUAUGCUAUGUUUCUGGUAAUAUGAAGCGAGUGCGUAGGGAGCACAUAUUCCGAAUAUGGUAACGCAGGAGUUAACGCGUCAGUGCACUGCAGUGAGCAUUGGAAUGUCUUUUCAUUCGUUUUUCUCUUUUCCGAAAGGGGCGUAUCUGUAUUCAAUAUAUUAUUAUUUGAAACUGAGGCUUCUGACUCAAGCUGUAGCUCAUACGUGCGUGUGGUGCAGAUAAAGUAGUGUAAAUGACAAGCGACAGCGCCGGUUCGGUGAACAUAAGGAAGUGGGACAGAUGCUGACCGCCGUGAUUAAUACUGUCAGCACUUACCAGAGCUAAAUUUUAUACAAAAAUAAAGGCAAAGCAUUCAUCGUAACUCACAAUAUUUUUGAAAUAAAAAGUGGCGUUUUUAUGCACGUGCUUCAUGAACUCAAAUUGUUUUCCAUUUGCGAUUUCCAUACCUAAGUAAAACUCCUGCACAGUUACCCCCUGAACGGCAAAAUUGAAGCAACAAGCAACUGUUUUCUGGGUUUUUAUGAAGUAUCGCACUGAUCAGAGACUAGAAGAACCAUGCAGGGGAGAUGCAGCUGCACUUCAACCAUUUCUACACCUUUUUGCUUAAGAUUUAUUGAUUUUGCAGCAGGCAUACACCGCUGCUCACCAGCAAAGGCAGGAAGCUGCAGCACCUCUCUUAAGGGCAUGUGGUGAUAAACAAAGUGGUUUCUUCCAAAACUGGAACAGCAAAAUGUGGCUGUGCAGUUCCUCGGCACUCACCCACCGGCAAAGCUGAGUAUUCCUCCGCCAACAAGGCUAACGGCCAAAAAAGAUACUCCUCCACAGCGGGAAUGAAGAACACAAGUGCUGUUUCACUAUUCUGUAAUGUUGAUGACAAGGUUCAUCUGGGGAAUGGCGCCUACGUUUCGAAAGAUAAAUUCGAUUUGGGCAAUGAAGUGUCGGAAGGAUUCAACAUUCUGCAGAGAGCUUUUUCUCGACAGCUUUGGACCGACAUGGAACUUCGAGGCCGCAGCUUGGCCGUACUGUCUCAAACCGAUAUGCAAAAAGUGGUACACCACCCAAGCCCGCCUUGACACCUCACAGAGUACAGGCCCCUUCAAGUGACUGAUGUUUACAUGUCUUAGUAUAUAGUACACAUGCACCAGGAACAUAAAUAAUUAGUAAAGCAGGACAUCAAGCGAGUGGGUGUGCAAAUCAUGUGUGGCACACACAUGAUUUGCUGAAUAUAUUUUAUUUUCCAUUCUUGAAGACCUGUAGCAAUGUAAUUUCAGAAUUGACAUUUUGACGUUCUCUCUCUCUCUUUUUAGAUGCAUAUCAACUCUAUCUGAACGAGAAGUCUUCAGACACCCCGAGGGUCAAAAGGCUAAGCUCCUUUGUGCUCCACAUUAGGAGUUUUCUGAAUGAGUCAAAUAAAGAGUGAACAUGUGGCAUAG